rnacentral:lncRNA from 1 species
ACCUGAGGCUUGGGAAGCCCUUCUGCAUUUUUCUACUGUUCCACAUGAAUUUUUGCCCCAUGAAGGUGAUGUAUUGAGCUCUUUCUUUUCACCGGAUAGGCUUGGAGACAGCCUAAUGUUUCCAAGAUUGGGUGUUCCUCUUCUUGUCUUUGCCUGCUGAGCAGGUGUUGGUAGGAGAAAGGACAUGAAUCUUACCCAUGGGACUCUUAACCACGUGCUGCAGUGAAAGAACUCGGAUAUCAAUGCACUUCAACUUUAUAAUAGAUCUGUUUAUCUGUUAUUUAUUACUGAAGACACUUUUUUUCCAGGCCAACUUAUUAGAAGUUCAUACAGAUUGUGAGGCAGUCAGUUUCCAUCUGUAGGAUGGGACUGUACACCACUGUUGGAGAACUUUUUUUUGUGGCUUUGGAGAAAGCGCGACACAAAAAUACGCAUUUAACUGUUGACAUGUGGACCUUUAACCAUGGCACCCAAGUUACCAAAUUGAUGUGUGGCUUUCCCUUAAUCCCCUCACCCCUGCCUUUCCAGCUUUGGACGCCGACACAGCACUAGGUGCCAGCUGCCAUGUUUUGCUUAUAUUGUAAAAUUAAUGAUUCAGGACUUUGAGCAGAGGAGCACUGAGAACAGGUUAGCAGUUGCUUAAGAGACUUGCUUAUUCAUACUGCUGAGGCCCAUAAAUUUUCAGGAACUCAAACAGCUUUCAAACCACCUUCCACAGGAUCACUGGAAGCAGGAAAUAGCUGCUCAGUGACCCUGUCUCUACCUUUUAUAUGUUAAAGUAGCUUUAAAACAGCAGAAGGUGGAGCGACUUCGGGAGAAUGGGGCUAUUCUCGGCUCAUUCCAGUGGUCCCAGAUGUCUGAUGGGCACAAGAUUCUUGGCCUGCAGGUGAAGGCCAGUGGGGAACUGCAGUUCUAAGUCAAGUGCUGCCAUCGGUCACCUCUUUCUGGCUUUUCAGAGCUCACUGAAAGACUUUGAAAUCAAAGGUGUCAGUGUCGCCCUUGGACUGAGAGGUGGGUGAUAUAUCCUAGCCUUGAAACUGGUUUUCUAAGGAGUGCUGUGCUGGGAUCUGAACGUUUUGUCUUGGCCACUUUACUGGAUCCCUGCUGUAAAGGUUGCUUUGAAGAAUUCCUUCUGGUGCCUCUUGAUGUGUCAAGCUCAAGACAGAUCUGUACUGAAGUGGUGUCUGAUCUGAUGAGUGCUUCAGUUCAGGGUUAUUUUUUGACAGUUCCAGAAACACCAGGCCAAUCAGCCCUUUCAGGAACAGAUGGAUUUGCUUCUCAUUUCAAGGAAGAACAUUGUAAUUUAAGUUCUUGAAGUGGCACAUCUUCAAAUAGAGUCGAUCCAGCUGUCGAGGCUGGUAACUCAGGGCUCUGGCCUUCAGAGAUCACCGUGAAAUGUGACUCCAGCUCAGUGGCAGAGGAAGCUGAGACGAUCAUCUGCUUCAACCUUUGCCUUCUUGGCCAGCAACCUUGUGGUCUUUGCUCUCAGAGGGUCUUGGUUGCUGUAACCCUCAGUCACAGAACUUGCCCCCAGUCCAUGUUUAGACAGUAUUUAACAGCUAGAAUUGACUAAACAAAUGCGAAGAGUAGAAAUUGAGACUUUUGCUCCAGUUUGGGACAACUUAGCUUUAGAUUUAGAAUGAGAUGUGUUAGUGAGAGGCUGUUCUGUGCUUCAGACGAGGUGAAGGUGUGUGAUGUGCGUGUUCUAACACACUGUUCCAGAUUGUGACACACAGCACACCAGCACGCACCAGCACACACCCACACACACUGUGCUCUCAGCCCGUGGAGGACAGGAGCAGGUAAAUCAGCAGCAGCUAUUUUACCUCUGGGGUGACACUGACCGAUUGAAACAGGGGGUUAGAACAUGUAGUUCCUGCUGCUCUUCCUUCCCUGUCAUCUCCCUCUACUGAUAAACAGGGGUGUCAAAACAUCUUUAAUAUUUUUGUAAGAAAAGACACAAAGUAGGCCAGCGAGUACCCCUGGGUAGAUGCAGUAACACUUCUCUUGUGCAUUUGUUGGGGUUCCCUUCUUGCUCUUUGGUAGCAGAUGAGGAAGCUGGAAAAAUGGACCAGGGAACAGGGCUCCUUCAGUACCAAGAAAGACAAGCUUGUAAAAUAAACUAGACAGACUUUCAUUACA